GAAUUGGUGGGAAUGGAUUUAAUAGGACCGUUACCAGUAACAAAGGAUGGAUACCAGUAUAUACUUACAGCCAUAGAUUAUCUUUCAAGAUGGGUGGAAGCCUUUCCACUUAGAAAUAAGUCGUCAAUUGAGGUGGUACAGAUCAUGUUCACAAUGAUUCUUCGACGUGGAUGCCCACAGCGGAUACUGACAGAUCGUGGUGCAGAAUUCAAUAAUAAGCUUAACUUGUAUGUUUGUAAUAAAUUGGGAAUAGAACGUAGCUUCACCAGUCCGUACCACCCACAAACCAAUGGCUUGACUGAAAACGCUAAUAAAUCCAUGAAAAGAGCACUGCGGAAGAUGGUUGAUAACAAUGGGAGUAAUUGGGAUAAAUUACUUGAACCCAUUUUGUUUUCUUUGCGAACUAAAAUACAUGCAACAACAAAAUUUUCACCUUUCCGACUAAUGUUUUGUGAUGACGCAG